rnacentral:misc_RNA from 1 species
UACGAACUGUGCAAACGUUAUUCGGAAUCACUGGGCUUAAAGGGUGCGUAGGCGGCCGUUUAAGUAGGGUGUGAAAGCCCGCAGCUCAACUGCGGAAUGGCGCUCUAAACUGGACGGCUUGAGUGAGAUAGGGGUGUGUGGAACUUCCGGUGGAGCGGUGAAAUGUGUUGAUAUCGGAAGGAACGCCGGUGGCGAAAGCGACACACUGGGUCUUAUCUGACGCUGAGGCACGAAAGCCAGGGGAGCGAACGGG